rnacentral:rRNA from 1 species
AGUUAAAAAGCUCGUAGUUGAACCUUGGGCUUGGUUGGCCGGUCCAUCUUUCUGAUGCGUACUGGACCCAACCGAGCCUUUCCUUCUGGCUAGCCUUUUGGCGAACCAGGACUUUUACUUUGAAAAAAUUAGAGUGUUCAAAGCAGGCCUUUGCUCGAAUAUAUUAGCAUGGAAUAAUAGAAUAGGACGUUAUGGUUCUAUUUUGUUGGUUUCUAGGACCAUCGUAAUGAUUAAUAGGGACGGUCGGGGGUAUCAGUAUUCAGUU